rnacentral:tRNA from 1 species
GCCCUCGUAGCUCAACGGAUAGAGUAACUGUCUUCGGAACAGUUGAUAGAGGUUCGAUUCCUCUCGGGGGCA